UUUCUUCAUCAAUUAACACUGCACAAGCAUUUAAAAAAAUGGAAGUUUAUUUUUCUCUCCAUGGCUCAAAUAGCAAAUAAAAAGAAUUGGGUAAGGCAUCAGCCAUGACAAGUUCCCUGUGUCCAGUGGCUUCAUAACACCUCAGUUCCCAUAUACAGUUCUCAAAAUAAAGUCACAAUGUUAGUGGUUAAACUCCCUGGUUAACCAGACUGGAAGUGAGCACACAGGAAGAUGAAGACUGGCUUACUUGGCUGUAGUUACAUGAGUAACUUUAAUUCUGCACAUGGUAGUUACUAAAUGUACAUACAAAAUUCCUUAUUGAUAAAUAUUUAAACAUGACAAAUGUUAUUUCUGAAGAGUUGAGUCCCUAAAAUGUCUAUUAUUAGCUAACAUGUCAAUUACAUAUUUGUUUCCUAGUUUGCUUGAACACAUUUUGAACUGUCAGUUAUAGGUUUACACAUGUAUAAAAAAAGUAAUAUAGUUUGUGGAAUUGAGCUAGCCUUCCCUACUCUAAAAUAAGUCCAAAACCUCCAAAGAUUCUGGCAUAUUUUUAGUUAAGAUGCAGCGUACUAACAGUGUGCUAGUAUUCUUUCCACUCUGAAGCAGCUGAGGCAGUACAUUUCAUUUGGGAUUUUUAGAUGCCCAUAGUAAAUAUUUCCGAAAUGCAAAGCAUGUUUGAUAUCAACAUUAAACUAGAAAAAGUAGCUACAAUGUUCCCCAUCAUCAACACAAACUAGACUAAACAGUACAAAACCUACAAGUAGCUUCAGCAUAACACACCAUGUUCCCAUAGUUUAGUAUUAGGAGCACAAAAGGAAGAAAUUAACUGAUGACACCAGAAUUUCCCAGACCACACCUUAACGCAAAACACAUUAGUGCUACGGAACGAGCUCCACUUUGCUCAAGUCCAGGGGCUUUUAACACCUACAGACAUUGACUAUUUGCAAACGGGUAGUUUCAAGGUAUCAGCACAUUAAGAGGUAAAUACCCAUUUUGGGCAUACCUGUGCCAUACCACUUAUGGACUUCAACUUAAAUCUAUCCUGACCCUUCAGUUUUAAGAUACCAUAUCAUUUACUAACUUACAGGUGACAAAAUGUGCUCUGGAUUACUCAGAGGACCAGAGUAUGGCACACAUUUUAAAAGCAGACACUGCUAGUUGACAGCUAGUUAGCGAGAUUGUUCAGAUAACUGCACUUCACACUAGAGCACACUCUCCUACUGAUGCACAGGGACACUGUCUCCAUGCAACGAGUUGACAAUACACCCUUGACUAUGUAACCUGCUAUUUCUAUGUGGGUUUUUUUAAAAAUUAAGGCAUAUUUAAAUGUUUCCAUAUACAAGAUUAUACCACUUUAAGUUGAAUCACGUAAUGCAGAUCCAUGUAUAAAUGACUCCCAGUAUAAGUUAUGCAAAUAUACCACUCUUUUAUAGUCUGCUUAUCUCCACAGCAAGAAAACUCCAUACCAGUUAGUUAGGUAUCAUGUUCACAACUGUAAUUUUCAAGGCAGUAGAAGACAAGAUGAAGUGACAAUUCUUAAAUGAUAUAAAAUUUAUGCUUUACAAGAAAUCAGAAAGUACUACUUCUUUCUGUUUACAAAAAAGACUGCCUAUGAAACACUACAUUCAGAAGAAAUGUGAUCAUGUAGGCAAUUAUGAAAUGGGUUGAACUCUGCUUCUCUGGAAGCCACAUUAAUUUUUCAGUGAAUUUGACUUUCAGUGCAGUUCCAAUUCAUGCUUUUAGUGAUACAUUACAAUUUCCAACAUGUUAGGAUAAUUUCAGUCAUUUGAGCCUUCAAUGGCAUGCUUAUAAAUUAUGGG